UACAGAGGGGGCAAGCGUUAUUCGGAAUUAUUGGGCGUAAAGGGCGCGUAGGCGGCAUGGCAAGUGGAAGGUGAAAUCCCUCGGCUCAACUGAGGAACUGCCCUCCGAACUGCUUUGCUUGAGUCCGGGAGAGGUGAGUGGAAUUCCCAGUGUAGCGGUGAAAUGCGUAGAUAUUGGGAGGAACACCAGUGGCGAAGGCGGCUCACUGGACCGGAACUGACGCUGAGGCGCGAAAGCGUGGGGAGCAAACGGG
rnacentral:rRNA from 1 species